UACGUAGGCAGCAAGCGUUGUUCGGAGUUACUGGGCGUAAAGGGUGUGUAGGCGGUUAUUUAAGUUUGGUGUGAAAUCUCCCGGCUCAACCGGGAGGGUGCGCCGAAUGCUGAAUGACUUGGAGUGCGGGAGAGGAAAGUGGAAUUCUGGUGUAGCGGUGAAAUGCGUAGAUAUCAGGAGGAACACCGGUGGUGUAGACGGACUUUCGUUGG
rnacentral:rRNA from 1 species